CCUACGGGUGGCAGCAGUGAGGAAUAUUGGUCAAUGGACGAGAGUCUGAACCAGCCAAGUAGCGUGAAGGAUGACUGCCCUAUGGGUUGUAAACUUCUUUUAUAUGGGAAUAAAAUGUUCCACGUGUGGGAUUUUGUAUGUACCAUAUGAAUAAGGAUCGGCUAACUCCGUGCCAGCAGCCGCGGUAAUACGGAGGAUCCGAGCGUUAUCCGGAUUUAUUGGGUUUAAAGGGAGCGUAGGUGGAUUGUUAAGUCAGUUGUGAAAGUUUGCGGCUCAACCGUAAAAUUGCAGUUGAAACUGGCAGUCUUGAGGACAGUAGAGGUGGGCGGAAGUCGUGGUGUAGCGGUGAAAUGCUUAGAUAUCACGAAGAACUCUGAUUGCGAAGGCAGUUCACUGGACUGCAACUGACACUGAGGCUCGAAAGUGUGGGUAUCAAACAGGAUUAGAUACCCUUGUAGUC
rnacentral:rRNA from 1 species